rnacentral:rRNA from 1 species
AUUGAACGCUGGCGGCAUGCUUUACACAUGCAAGUCGAACGGUAACAGGCCGCAAGGUGCUGACGAGUGGCGAACGGGUGAGUAAUGCAUCGGAACGUGCCCAGUCGUGGGGGAUAACGCAGCGAAAGCUGCGCUAAUACCGCAUACGAUCUAUGGAUGAAAGCGGGGGACCGUAAGGCCUCGCGCGAUUGGAGCGGCCGAUGUCAGAUUAGGUAGUUGGUGGGGUAAAGGCUCACCAAGCCGACGAUCUGUAGCUGGUCUGAGAGGACGACCAGCGACACUGGGACUGAGACACGGCCCAGACUCCUACGGGAGGCAGCAGUGGGGAAUUUUGGACAAUGGGCGCAAGCCUGAUCCAGCAAUGCCGCGUGCAGGAAGAAGGCCUUCGGGUUGUAAACUGCUUUUGUACGGAGCGAAAAGGCUCCCUCUAAUACAGGGGGCUCAUGACGGUACCGUAAGAAUAAGCACCGGCUAACUACGUGCCAGCAGCCGCUGUAAUAC